UACGAGGGGGGCAAGCGUUGUUCGGAAUUAUUGGGCGUAAAGAGCGUGUAGGCGGCUUUCCAAGUUGGCGGUGAAAUCCCUGGGCUUAACCCAGGAACUGCCCCCAAGACUGGAAGGCUCGAGUCCGAGAGAGGUGAGUGGAAUUCCAGGUGUAGCGGUGAAAUGCGUAGAUAUCUGGAGGAACACCGGUGGCGAAGGCGGCAUCCUGGACCGGUAUUGACGCUGAGGCGCGAAAGCCAGGGGAGCAAACGGG
rnacentral:rRNA from 1 species